rnacentral:lncRNA from 1 species
AGACCUAGGAGGAGUUUAGAAGCCUCUAGUUUAAGUGUUAGCUCCACUUCUUGCUCUGGGGGUUCACAUCCUUUAAAAUAUUCCUCCAGCCUCAGUUUCUCCUUCAGAUCAAAAAGAAAAGCACUGCCUCCUUCAAGAUCUCAGAGGUCAUGUGCAGAGCCUCCUGGCCCAGGCACUUGAGCACAGCCCUAUGGGUGGGCAGCAUCAGACACUGGUCACCCCCUUGCACUUUAUUGGUGGAACACGUGGUUGCUGACGGCAAGGUUGUGCUCCAGGCGGAAGGGCUCCAGAACCACGCCAUCCCGCACGGGGAAUGUGAGCCGUAGCUCGUCAUUGUGGUUGGCUGGGCAAAGACAAGGAGCAUGUGAGUGGCAAGCACCCCAGCCUCACAGGUGCUGGGGCUGAAGCGGGACUCGCGCAUCCACGGGACACUACUUUGGGAAGCAUGCUCAGACAACACAAAUGUGGGCCAUACGCCACAGAAGGUGUGGUGUGCCCAACCUCGGGCUGGGAGCCUCUGGCUUCCUCGAGCUCAGCUGGCUCACCCCACCCUGCAAUCCCGUUCCUCUCACUGGCCUCUCAGUACCUGAAGAUCCAUGCUCUUCUGGUGGCUGGGAAUAAGGAGGCCUAUGGUCCAGCCCCCACACCAACUAUCACUGGGAUUGGGGAGUCCUUGUUCUCAGCCCUCCUGCCUUUUCUGCAUAACUCCCACCUCAGUCUAGCUUCUGAACCCUCUGAUCCUGCCCACUGAGGGUCCCCAAGGUCAACUGAAGAAUAGGGGGUAUGGGCUCCUCACCUGGGGGUGGUGGCAGAGCACUCAUAUUUGGCUUGAUAUCAGGUGGGAAAGGUGGUUUGACAUCUUGGCUGGGGGACAGAUAGGGAGGUAUGCUGCUCCCGGGCGUCAUGGGGGGAGUGGGGUUCCCUGGAACAGGUGAGUGGGGGUAAUUCGCCACAGGAACCGGCCUGGGAGGCUGGAAAAAAAGAGAUCAGAAAUAGGUUAUGAACUCUGAGAGGUAAUGGGUCAGGCUGUGGACAUAUGCUCUACCUGUGCCAAGUUCUACCCAAGGGCUACUCCUCCCAGCACGGGAGGGGAGUCACCAGAGGACUCACGCUCUCCUGCAGGAUCCGGCUUCUUCUGGAGGACAGGGGGGACUGGGAAGAACCUUGCCCCUUAUUAAAGCCCACACUGCUGAAUCCCCCUCAGGGUUAGGUACAUUUGUGGCUUCCUAUAGCCAGGGGUCAAAGUGGACACAGAGGCCCAGUGUGCUAGGGACUUGUCUAACCUACACCAGGAGGAAAGAGCAGCUGGCCUCCCUGAAUUGUGAUUCUAGUCCAUAUUCCUUGACCCUGUUUGGGGCCCCUUUUCUCCUCACUGUCUUUGGUUUUCUGUAGUGCCCAUGCUUGUCCUUGGUCACACAUUGAAGCAGUGGACUCUAGGUCCCGAGCGUAUCUACGCCUCAGCAGAUG